UACGUAGGGUGCGAGCGUUGUCCGGAAUUACUGGGCGUAAAGAGCUCGUAGGUGGUUUGUCGCGUUGUUCGUGAAAAACUCACAGCUUAACUGUGGGCGUGCGGGCGAUACGGGCAGACUAGAGUGCGGUAGGGGAGACUGGAAUUCCUGGUGUAGCGGUGAAAUGCGCAGAUAUCAGGAGGAACACCGGUGGCGAAGGCGGGUCUCUGGGCCGUAACUGACGCUGAGGAGCGAAAGCGUGGGGAGCGAACAGG
rnacentral:rRNA from 1 species